CUCAUUAAAAAUGAAUUAAAAUACAUUUUGAUUUGGUCAAAACCUAAAAUCCCUUCAAAACACCAAAUAAAUGACCAAGGGAUUUAUUCUAGGUCAAACAAGGUCAAAGGACCUUAGACAAUUUUUUUUACCAUUUUUAAAAAGUCAGAAUAAUUUUUAAACAAUUAAAAAUAUGCACAAAAACAUUUAAUUCAUGAAAAAUACCAAAAUUAAUCCAAACAAUAAUUUUAAUUCAGAACAUGGAAG
rnacentral:lncRNA from 1 species